rnacentral:sRNA from 1 species
CUUUGGAAGGCCGAGGUGGGCGGAUCACCUGAGCUCAGGAGUUUGAGACCAGCCUGUCUCUACUAACAAUAUAAAAAUUAGCUGGGAGUCACGGUGGGCGCCUGUAAUCCCAGCUACUCGGGAGGCUGAGGCAGGAGAAUUGCUUGAACCCAGGAGACAGAGGUUGUAGUGAGCUGAGAUCGCACCACUGCACUCUAGCCUUGGCAACAGUGCAAGACUGUCUCAAAAACAGCAACAGAAAGCAGGACGUGAGACUUCUACCUGCUCACUCAGAAUCAUUUCUGCACCAACCAUGGCCACGUUUGUGGAGCUCAGUACCAAAGCCAAGAUGCCCAUUGUGGGCCUGGGCACUUGGAAGUCUCCUCUCGGCAAAGUGAAAGAAGCAGUGAAGGUGGCCAUUGAUGCAGGAUAUCAGCACAUUGACUGUGCCUAUGUCUAUCAGAAUGAACAUGAAGUCGGGGAAGCCAUCCAAGAGAAGAUCCAAGAGAAGGCUGUGAAGCGGGAGGACCUGUUCAUCGUCAGCAAGUUGUGGCCCACUUUCUUUGAGAGACCCCUUGUGAGGAAAGCCUUUGAGAAGACCCUCAAGGACCUGAAGCUGAGCUAUCUGGACGUCUAUCUUAUUCACUGGCCACAGGGAUUCAAGUCUGGGGAUGACCUUUUCCCCAAAGAUGAUAAAGGUAAUGCCAUCGGUGGAAAAGCAACGUUCUUGGACGCCUGGGAGGCCCAGCUUAUACUCUACCUGAAGGACUCCCCUGACAACUGUGGGCUCCACUUCCAGAUCGAGAAGCUCUUGAACAAACCUGGACUGAAAUAUAAACCAGUGACUAACCAGGUUGAGUGUCACCCAUACCUCACACAGGAGAAACUGA